ensembl:lncRNA
CUUGACUCAGCAGACAGCUAAGAACAUGGGAUACCUUUGCUCACUUGGAAAUGUAUUCUUAUGCCACGUGUACCUCCUCCGCUCCUGGUGGACACGGGUACUUCAAGAAAACACCUCAUAACACAGAGGAAACACCCCAUGCCAUAUGAAUCACCCAGCAGGAGUACAGGAACUGUUUCUCUUGAUUUUCCAGUCUAUGCCCAGUGUGUUCUUCUGGCUUAUAAUACUGUACUUGUAAUGUGUGUGUCUCAGAGAUGAUACCUGCCAGCGCUUCCCACACAGUGCCAUUGAAGAUAUCUGCUUAUUGUUUGUUUUAGGCGUGGAGGAGGCCAACUUGGGUUGCAACAUGGAAGAAGAACCAGGAAGCAUUUUUGGGACUGGAACCUAGCAGUUCAUCUUUACAGCAGCCCAGGACCUGAGCAGACAGCGCUGAUGGAAAAGAGGAUUUGUUGCUACCAUGUUAUUUGUAACGUGAGCAAUAAUGACAUCCAGGAGCCCCAUGUGAGAACCAGAACCAUGUGAGCUCCCAGAUGAACAGAGCAGCUGGUUCCCUACCUGAAAAGCUGGUUAAUGAAUGAGUUACAGUAGUCAGCAAGCUCAUCCAAAAACAAGCAUUCAGGCUUCUUUGGGAUGUCCACAGUUGCAAACAGCUUUCUGAAGCAGGAGACACCUGGAGGAUGAAGAAAUAGUUGGGAAAGUGGCAACAGCGCUCAUGGGAAGGCAGUGUGCUGCUCUGCUGCCCUCUCCCAGUUUCCACACCACACAAGCAUGCCACUGAUAGCAUGAAAAUGUUGUAGUCCUCAUCUCUGCCAAUAUAAUAUUGUGAGACACAUUUAGUCUUCCUGAGCAAUCUGAUUUUCAUUCAUUCAAAAAGUUCUGGCAAUUUCUGAGUCUGUCUUCACAGCCAUACUGAUUUAAUUUAUCAUAGGAACAAGUGCAUCUGAUGGUGCAAGGAAAGUCUAACGUCUCGGAGGCAAUGAACAGAGUAGACCAAAGGAUGGUUUUCUAUCCAGAUCUUAAUUACUAACGUAUACGUGUCUUACUUACAUAAAAAUACCUGAGGGAAGCAGUAGGGAGGAUGGGUAUUUAACAUGGAGCUGAUUAAAGAAAGCCUGCAGGCACUUAAGAAGGAUCUAAGCAAGAGUUGGAAGUUUUUUCUGAACAGGGUUAGAAACAAGCACAUGCCUACACAGAUAACUGACUGACUUUUUGUUUAGGCAUGUAUUAUUUUUUUGUUAAUUUAUAUCUUGUUCCGAAAAACAACCUCCUGGCAAGUGAAAUUUAUUCGUAUCUAUCUAUGCCUUUGCCUGUCUUAGAAGUCUUGAAGAAAAUCAACUUAUCCAAGCAGAGAGAAUCAGGUAACUUUCAGAAACAACUUUCAACGUAUUGCAAUCACUGGAUGUGAUAGAGAUAGUUAUACUUAUCCCAAUGUGUCACAGGUGGCAUUCACCACUAUGCAUGCAUGUUAAAGCAAACAGAAACAGCUUUUAUCACAGCAGAAUGUCAUGAUCUGCACUUAGGGUUCAAUCUUUCUAUCCACUAUGUGGGCAUAAAUUGACAUGCCUCAGAGAGUAGGAUUGAAUUCUCCACUUAUUUUAGAAAGUGUUCUAAAAAUACAAUCAAUAUAGGGAGAUGUAAAAAUAACUUCUUUUUAUUACUUGCUGGGGAGAACUGUGCAUAAAUUAUGGCUUUAUUUUCUUCUACUUCUGAAUUAUGUAAGUUGUACGAAAAGCUCAAAAUAAUUUAAUAUAACCUUUAUGGUUUUGCAUCUGCAUGUCUCUAGUGAUUUAUCUUUUUCUGCCUUUUCAUUUUUCCUUUUUCUUGUUCUUUCUCUUCCCCUGUCUCUCAGUCUCUGUGAUUCAGGUGCACACACGUACAUGCAGUAGCAAGGGCAUCUGCAGUAGGCAACCCUCAAUUUUUCCACUUAAAAGUGUUCCCAUGGCUUCCAGUAUGAUUUUUCUCAGCUUUUAUGUAUAGCCACCUACCUCUGCAAGACGAUUGAUUUCUGUUGGUCUCUUGGGUGCACGCUUAGGGCAGGUUUCACUUAGUCAGUCUCUGUCACCAUCUGACUGUUUGAUUGUAUUGUGGGUACUCUAUAAGCAGUGACUGAUUUUUAGGAGGAAGAAUACAGAUCAAAUAAUAAGAGCGUACACGCUUUGAGACAAGAAUUAUCUCACUUCGUCUAGCACUGCUACAGCUAUUGUAAUAAUUUAGAUCAUAAUUAAUCAGGGGCCCAAACAUUCCUCAAAUUUGGUCUAAAUCUGCAAUUUUCCUGUCUGAAAGUCCUUGUUGGAUUUUCAUCGCAAAAUGGCAAAAGUUAUAUAACAGCAACGAUUCUAUCCCAUAUAUAUCCAGGAACAGAGGGUUCCUAGGUUUGCACAUGUAGUUAAAUGUACAUUCACAAAAGGAGUGACAAAACUCAUUAUAAUCUGGAGGUGCUUGCACUGUCACAGUCUUUAAUUACGUGAUCUCAAAGCACCCCCCAGAAUCAUACAGAUUGUGUCAACAAAAAGGCAUACAUGAUAUUUUGCAAUAUUCUUUUGUUGUAGCAGAACCAUAGUAAUUUACACAUCAGUCUGUGUCCCUGUAAACUGUCUUCUCCCUAGCACUCAUAUGAACAACUAUAUGAGCCUCAGUAUGCUAUAUGCUAACUAAAGGGAAAACCUUGUUUUCUUCUGGAGGCAGUACAUUGGAAGCAAAACCACACAGAAAUAUCAUUCAAGAAGUUGUGUGUCUUGGUGACUGUAUCUUCUACAAACAGCCAUACCCACCUUCUCUUUUCCUGUGACCAGUCCUUAGGGCUUUCUCAAGACUGAUAUUCGCUGCUCUGUGUGCUUUUCCUCUUUCUCUUUUUUUUUCCUCUCUGAUUCCUUCUCUUCACACCCCCUUUCUUUCUUUUUUUUUUUUUUUUUUUUACUUUUCCAUUUUUUAUUUUCCCUUUUCAUUGGAAUUCUCAACUUUGUUGCUGAUUUGUAAGUCAACAUCAGUUCAAUAAGCAUGUAAAAACAUUUUGAAAAAAUAAUUUCCCAGAGAAAUGGAUAAGAUAUAUAUGUAUUCAAAAAUUAACCUUUUAUAUUUUAAUCAGCACAAACACAGAAAUAAUAUUUAUAGUAGAUCUGCAUCCUGCAGUGACCUCCUAAAGCAUUACGUAUUGUACAAAAAGACCACAGCCUCCUAAGACCACCCAAAUGCAUGAAAAAUCAAAUAUAGACUCUUAGACUCUUUUAAAGACUUGAAACAAACACUGGUGAAAUAAUUGCUGGAUUCAGCAAAUUACAACCAAGUGAUAUGUGACACAUAAUGUCUGUCAAUGUUCCUGCAAGUGAGAAUACCUUAUGCCAGACCUUGGCCAGCAACUCAGCAUUGCCAGAGAGGCAGAGUUGGCCUCAGCAGCUAGGUAAUAUUUUUCUCACUUAAAACAAUCUUUCUGUGCUGUGCUGCUGAUCUGGCUUCUGUAUCCCUGUUCCCAGGAUGGGUCAGGUUAGGGGGCCAAGGAAAAUUAGAUUUUAUGGUUACCAUACAACAUAAUCACUGGAUGUUAGUGCCCGUACAGAACAGCUCCUCCUGCUCAUUACUGCUCCUGCUUUGCUCCAGGAAGGAAAAACAACUCUGGUCUUGUGUGAUGGGACCCAGUGUGACUGACUCAUAUGAAUUCUGAGUCUGGUCCAUGGCACUUUGGGAAUAUGAACAGAGCACCUUGGAAGCACACAGAGAAGCUCUCACCUCAAAAAUAUGUCAGGAAGUAUGUGAUUAAUCACCCAUUGAAAGUUACAGGGAAACAAAGCUCUCCAGGCAGUCAUUAGAUGCACCUGCAAUCCUUGUUCUGCUUGUUUUAUCAUGAACUCCAGCACUUGUUUCCUUCAAUUUCUGGGUGUGGUGUGUCCUUUUAACUCCAAAUCUCUUAUUUUCUCUGCCAUAUAUUUCAGGUUCUCUGCGACAGUUCCUGUAAAUAUCAGCAUGGCUCCAUAUGUAAUUUCUCUUCACUCAUAGCUGUUGUUAACAGAACAUUAGACAGAAAAACAUAUACCCCAGGCCCUCCACCCCGAUCUCUCCUGAUGUUGGAGGUAUAUUACGACUUUUAUUUCUAUUUGGUACUUUAGGGGAAGGUUAUGUUUAUAAUUUUGAUAAUGUAUGUGUUUAUGUUUGAAGUGUUUUUUCUGUCUCAAAGUAGGAAGGCAAAUAACCAUCAGUCAUCAGUUAUUAAAUAAAAUUGUAGCUAGUAAACAGCCAACUUUAGCCAUUUUUAAGUCCAGCUAUUCAGUUAGUAUGGCAUCCCCAACUAGAAGAUAUUUACCUUUAAAAAAAAAUACAGAAAGAAAGAAUGAAUGGGAAGGGGAGAGGUGGACAGAAUGAUGGAAGAGUCAUGGCUCCUGCCAAGCUAUUAUUCUUUUCAUAACACAAUCUGAGCCAUAAUCUUGUAUGCUCAAAAACAAUGUAAAAGGAUCUGUUGUUUCCUCCCCUUAUUUACAUUGUAAGAGUGUGUUGUGAUCCCCAAGUGCUGUAGAAAAAAAAUGCAGUAGCGCAUGCUUCUAAUUUGACCCCUUUCUUUAUGAAAAAUCAUGUUACUGUAAAUAAUGACUCUGGCUAAUAAACCUCAAAAGCACUUCCUCAUUAUGGUU